ACAUGGAGGUGAUCAGGCUGUUGAUUGUGGCCUGUGAAAUGUUGUCCCACUCCACUUCAAUGGCUGUGUGAAGUUGCUGGAUUUUGGCGGGAACUGGAACACGGUCGUACACGUCAAUCCAGAGCAUCCCAAACAUGCUCAGUGGUUGACAGGUCUAGUGAAUAUACAGGCCAGUGAAGAACAGACAUUUUCUGCUUCCAGGAAUUGUGUACAGAUCUUUGCGACAUGUGGUUGUGCAUCAUCAUGCUGAAACAUGAGGUGAUGGUGGCAGAUGAAUGGCACAAUAAUGGGUCUCAGGAUCUGGUCACGGUAUCUCUGGGCAUUCAAAUUAGCAUAGAUAAAAGGCAAUUGUGUUCCUUGUCUGUAGCUUAUGACGGUUCAUACCAUAACCUCACCGCCACCAUGGGGCGCUCUGUUCACAGCGUUGACAUCAGCAAACCGCUUGCCCACAUGACGCCGUACACGUGGUCUACGGUUAUCCUGGGUUGUCGUGGUUACACGUGGUCUACAGUUGUGAGGCUGGUUGGACGUACUGACAAAUUCUCUAAAACAACGGAGGUGGCUUAUGGUAGAGAAAUUAACAUAAAAUUCUAUGGUAACAGCGUUGGUGGACAUUCCUGCAGUCAGCAUGCCAAUUGUACGCUCCCUUGAGACAUCUGUGGUAUUGUGUUGUGUGGCCUUUUAUUGUUCCCCCCCCCCAGCACAAGGUGCACCUGUGUAAUGAUCAUGCUGUUUAAUCAGCUUCUUGAUAUGCCACACCUGUCAGGUGGAUGGAUUAUCUUGGCAAAGGAGACAUUUUCAAUAACAGGGAUGUUAACACAUUUUUGUGCACAAUUUGAAAUGUUUUUUUUUUCUUCAGCUCAUGAAACAUGGGACCCAACACUUUACAUUUUAUAUUUUCGUUGAAUGCCCUAUGAACACCUCUGGUUAUGUAUAUUUUUUAAAGUAUUGUGCUUUUACUGUUUGAAAUGGCUCUGUGACAAUCACUAUGCUCCAAUACAAAUAAACCCUGCCUAAAGUGAAGCACCAAUCAACAUCUAAUACUUUCUGAAAGAAAACACUGAAG
ensembl:lncRNA